UCAAAAGUGACGUAGUAACAGUACCAGGGGGAGGGGAGAGAGGGGAGUUGGCAGAAUUACUCUGGUUGGUGCUGACCGGGAAAAAUCAGCGAAUAUUUGACGCUGUUGAAUACUUCCCCUCUCAAACGCACUCUUGGUUUGUGUCCUCUUGACUUCCCCUCUCUUUUGCCAUAUUUUCCCGACUUCGUUUCACUUGAUUUUUCUCUUAUCUCUUUGGCCAUUCCUGGUUAGCCUCCUUUGUAGGCGCCUCUUUAGGGAGUGCCUUAAAUGUUCUCGUCCCAGAGCCCUCUUUUUCCAUAAAGGAGCUCUCUUGGGCGAUCCCCUUCACUCACUUGUUUUCAAUUUACCAAGGCCUUGGUGCUGAUGACUUCUGAAUCUGUAUCACCAACCAGUUCUGUUUCCUGGGGCUCCAAGAAAUUACAAGAAGCCUGGAUCAAUUCCAUUUUUUGAGGCUUCCAAGCACAUUAAAAAAAUAUAUUUUUUUAAAUGCCGAACAGGAUGACAUGAAGCUACAGUAAUUCUUUUAACACACACACAUAGAGAAAGACACUAUUCACAAGAUAUUUACAAGGUUUAACCAAAAACUCAUUACUUGUGUGCUGUAGUGUAUUAGUGUGUAUAUUGCUUCAUUUGAAGGGGAUGGGAGCCCUUGCAGGCCUGUACCCUUCAGCCCUUCACCAGCUCCAGAUCUGCCUGCCUACAAGACAUCACCACUUGUAUAUACUUUAAGAACCUCAGACUCACCUGUUUCAUGAUAUUCACAGCCUUUCUGCACUGGCACAAGAAUGGAUCCAGGAGCUAUCUAGGAGCAGAUUGCUGACCAGAUUCUGUCUCAUUCUCUCAAAAGUCCUCCUUCUUUUCUUUCCCAUUUUUCUUUUUCCCCCUUCUCUUCCUCUUCUGUCCUCAAGGUAGAUUUCCCAGAACUAAAGCACCGUGUACAGAAGGAAAAAAUCAAAGAACAGGAGUGCAGAGUUCCAGGCUAAUUUACAGCUGUGCCCACUGAGAAACUUGGAACUUGCUCUUCUCAACUCUCUACACCUCACAGGCCCUCCCUUUCCCCUUCAGACAUGCACCUCUGGACCAGAAUAGGAGAUGAGGUCUCCUAGUGAGGGUAGUGGAGCUACCUUCCAUAGAAGAGGAGGAUGUGAGUUAUGAAACAUAUCUGAGCUGUAUCCCAGAGAGUAGUAUGCCUCUGUGUGUGUGUAAGCCUGAGACUGCUAUCCUUAGAAAGGCCUGCUUGCAAGGUUGGCCUUUGGCUGGCACUUGGGAACUUGACUGGUAAACAGUUCCCUACACUGAUAUUACACUUUCCCUAAAUGGUAAGGAUGGCUCACUGUGCCUGAAAUGCUUUUUACAAACAACGUGGUUGAUACUGAAUAUCUUCUGACAGUUUGGAAUCUUGACAUGUGCUCGGUAGACGGUGCUUAUGUGACCAGCCCCCAGUAACAACACAGGCUUCUCAAAUGAGCUUCCCUGGUAGACAUGUGUGUGUUAUUACAGUUUGAUGCUGGGACGGAAUUAAGUGCAUUCUGUAUGACUCCAGAGGGGAAGGACUCUAGGAAGCUUGUGCUUGGUCUCCUCAGGAUUUUGCCUCCUGUGCCUUUUCCCUUUGCUGAUUUUACUUUCUAUCCUUUCACUGUAAUAAAUCAUAGCCAUGAGUAUGAUUAUAUGCUGAGUCCUGGAGUCCUCCUAGCAAAUCAUUGAACCUGAGGAUGGCUUUGAGGAACCCCCAACGCAAUGAUCCCACCCAGGAUACCACAUUACACUGAGUUGUCCUAUCUCUUUAGUCUCCUCUGGUCUUGCAGUUUCUCAGAAUUUUCUUGGUUUUGAUGACAUUGACAGUUUUCAGUUUAGGAAAGAUUUGGACAGCAGAAACAGAGUGAGGAAUCCUCAGAAGAGAUGGUAGGGCAGCCUUAGGAAUAGAUGUGAUCACCCAGAGAGCAUUUGAAGAAAGAGAAGAAGGUAGGUCCAAGCAUGAGACCCUGGGGAAUACCAGCAUUUAAAAGGAGGCUGAGGGGCAUCCUAGGACUUCCCUGGUGGUCCAGUGGUUAAGACUUCACACUUCCAAUGCAGGUGGCCUGGGUUCAAUCCGUGGUCAGGGAACUAGGAUCCCACAUGCUGCAGGGCGUGGCCAAAAAAAAAAAAGGAGGUUGAAGAGGAAAAUGCCAUGGGAGAGACUGGGAAAGAACAGCCAAAGAAAUAGGAGGAGAAUCUGAAAAGCCAAAAGAGAAGACUCUGGAACUAGUCAUUGUCAGUGGUAAAGGCUGCAGAGUGGUCAAGGAGGACAGAGACUAAACAUGGCAGAAGGAGCUUCAGUGAUGUGGAGGGGUGGAAGUUAGAUUGCAAGGGAGUGAAGAGAGCAGAGGAAGCAGAGUGAGUGGCGACCACUCCUUACUAAGUUGGGCUACAAAGACAGAGUGGAUUGUAAGGGACGUGCUCUGCUCUGUCUGGGUUGAGAGGCCCUUGACACAGGCUUUGGUGCUUUUGAAACAGUUGGCUGUUGGAGCACAGGUGCAGGGAGAGAGAGCCAGUCAGCAGUUACUCUCUCCCUCUGGCAACUGAGGAGAAGAGGGGAGACUACAUGGCCCCUACCAUUUGCGAUGGAAGGGGUUAUCUCACUCCACAGAGGCCUCCUGUUACACCCUCUUCCACUCGUACAGCCAGGGUUACCACCUAUGGUAGCAAGGCUGCUGAAACCCAGUCAAACUCUACCAGCCUAGCCAAUCGCCCUGGUAGAGAGCUUUGUUCCAGAUUGCACAGAGUUACUAGAUGGGCUAGCAGUUUCCCUGCAUAUAGCCCUUCUCCAAGAAAAUUAGCCUUAGCUAAUCCUACUUGUCAUCCCCAAAAGGCAAAUAUGGGGAAGUCUUUUACUCUGCAAAAGUAUGUACAAUAAAGGAGUACUCACUCAGAACCUUGCACCAGAAUCCAGUUGUACCUGGAAGGACGUUUUGUAUGUGGAGUAAUUGGCAUAGCUUCAACAGUUAAGCACAUGGGCUCUGGAUUUGAGUCCUGGCUCCACUACUUAAGUGAUCUUGGGUAAGUUACUUAACCUCUCUGUGCAAUAGGUUUUCUAUCUGUGGGACAAUAAUAGAAACCAUUAACAGCACUAUCGUUAUAAAGAGUAAAUAAGAUAAUAUGUAUAAUGAGUUUUUAUCUGAGGGGUAAUAAUAGAACCUGCUAAUAGGGCUGUCAUUGUAAGGAUUAAAAGAGAUAAUAUGUAUAAAGUGCUUCAUAAUAUGUGCAAAUAUGCCUGGCACAUAUUAGAUAUCAUACUCAUAUUCUAUUUAGCCUUCCUCAGUACUGAUUCAUUAUAAUGCUAUUUAUCUCUGAAAUAUUUCCCAUAAAAAUAUAUUUGUAGGGGAAUUCCCUGGUGGUCCAGUGGUUAAGAUUCCGUGCUUGCACUG